UGGAUGCAGAGGCUGGGGGCUGGUCAGCGAGGAACAAUGGUCAUUUGUGAAGGAGAGGACACUUGAGAGCUCGGUGUCUCUAUAACAGGAGGCAAAACCAUGUUCACCAAUAAGGUUUCAACCCUUUAUUUAGUGAAAUGAAGUGUUAGGGAACACAGAGGGGGUUUUUAAGAGCUUACACAUCCAUCAGAACCAGAGCCACGGUGUGGGAAGAGAACCGCAAGACAUUUCCUCAAAUACCUGUGGCUUUGUAUGAAGGAAUCAAAGACCAGGAACACAAGUAAUUUGGUUACAAAGAAUUACACAGAAGUGAAAUGAGAACGGAAGCAAUUUCUUCUGAACCCUAGAACCACAGGGCAGCAUUACCAUGAAGUGACCUUAGAAUCAGGUUUUGACACUAAAGUUAAACUUUGUGAAACAAACCGUAGAGGGUGCCGUACCAUACCGCAGCUGGAAUAACUACAACACUGUCAGUGGAGAAUCCUUUUGGAUCUGCUAAUGUGGAAAACAGCAGAGCACCUCACGUGGUGGAUAAGAAACGGGGGCUUCAAGAAUGACCACAGAAAUGAUUCCAAAGAAAAAAGUAAACAGUUUGAUUACCAAUACAAAAAUUAAUAAAUGGAAUAGCAUUAAGCAAUGCCAGAUUUCAGUGGCGAAACAGACUCAGAAUUUAUACCCUGUGUUGUGUUCUGACCACUAAACAACAUACAGCUUCCAGAAACCACAGACUGCAUUAUAGGUGACAUCGGGGCUAUGCUGUUUGAGUUUUCUCAAAUCGUUGCAAAUCUCCAAAAAUUUUUCCAAUAUAAUUUUUU